ACCUCUAUAGUAUAGUGGUUGUACGCCAGGAUUAUCAAUCUGGCGACCCAGGUUCGAUUCCCGGUGGCUGCA
rnacentral:tRNA from 1 species